rnacentral:tRNA from 1 species
UUUGGUUGAGUUCUUCAGAAUACUAACUUGUCGAGUUAGAGGAUCUAAUAAUUAGAAAUCAAAACCA